rnacentral:tmRNA from 1 species
GGGGAUGUCAUGGUUUCGACAGGUAUUGUUCGAACUUUUGAUGCGUCAGGAAGGUUGCGUCUUCCUCAUCAACGCUACAGUUAAAUAUAACUGCAAACAAUCAAAACAAUUCUUUCGCUUUAGCAGCUUAAUAACCUGCAAGUGAAGAUCGGUCUGGCAUCGCCCAUGUGCUCAGAUACCGGUCUCAAAUUCAGUGGGAUACGCUUCAACUUUCCGUCUGUAAGUUGAAUAAGAGAUCAUCAGGCUCGCAACGAUAGAUGCCUGUUUAUCGGCUAUAUCAGCGCUAAACUUAAAUUGAUAAACUAUUGGCGUAGACUCAAUUGUGGCGAGAUAUUUGGACAGGGGUUCGACUCCCCUCAUCUCCAUAA